rnacentral:misc_RNA from 1 species
GAAAAAUGAAUUAGGUUUUUGAAAUUAUUAAGUGAGAAAACCCUUGGUUUGGUGAGCUUAACUCAGAAAGAUGUCGUACUUGUUACCUCACCUUCACUCAGGAUGGGCCGUCGAUCAAGCCAUUCUCGCUGAAGAGGAACGCCUUGUCAUCAUCCGCUUCGGCCAUGACUGGGAUGAAACUUGUAUGCAGAUGGAUGAGGUGCUAGCUUCAGUUGCAGAUACAUUAAAGAAUUUUGCUGUGAUAUACCUGGUGGACAUAACAGAGGUCCCUGAUUUUAACACGAUGUAUGAAUUGUACGAUCCAUCAACUAUCAUGUUCUUCUUCAGGAACAAGCACAUCAUGAUUGAUCUUGGCACAGGAAACAACAACAAGAUCAACUGGGCACUCAAAGAUAAACAGGAGUUCAUUGAUAUUGUUGAGACAGUGUACCGUGGUGCACGAAAGGGUCGUGGUCUAGUUAUUGCACCAAAAGAUUACUCUACCAAGUAU